AACUUUUGACAAUGGAUCUCUUGGCUCUCGCAUCGAUGAAAAACGCAGCGAAAUGCGAUACGUAAUGUGAAUUGCAGAAUUCAGUGAAUCAUCGAAUCUUUGAACGCAUAUUGCGCUCUCUGGUAUUCCGGAGAGCAUGCUUGUUUGAGUAUCAGUAAACACCUCAAAUCCCUCUACUUGUUGGAGGAAUUUGGACUUGAGCAAUCCCAACUUUUCGAAAGAGAAGGCGGGUUGCUUGAAAUGCAGGUGCAGCUAGAUUCUUUCUUCUGAGCUAUAAGCAUACUUAUUUAAUCCCGUCAAACGGAUUAUUACUUUUGCUGCAGCUAACAUAAAGGUUGAAGAGUCGCUAUGGCUGACUGAUGCAGGAUUUAACAUGUCGCGCAAGCGAUCUGUAAACUCGAUCUCAAAUCAAGCAAGACUACCCGCUGAACUUAAGCAUAUCAAUAAGCGGAGGCU
rnacentral:misc_RNA from 1 species